UUGUGUUUUUUUUGUGUCAGCCUACAAUUCCAGUUAACCCAAAGAAAAAAGAUGGAUGAUGGUUUAAUAUGAUGUGUUAAUGAAAUGUUUUCACAGGCUAGCAAAUAAAACAAUAUGAAAAAAAAGUAUUUUGUUUAUUCUAUUUUUUUUUUCUGACUACUCUGUUAAUAUUAAUUUACAUUUCUGAUGUAAUUCUUCCAGGCAGAUUUAGCACAACCAGGGCUCAUUCCAGAUUCAGAUGCCGUGGGUGUGACUGUUGUGUUAAUUACCUGCACGUACCGUGGUCAGGAAUUCAUUAGAGUGGGGUAUUACGUUAACAAUGAAUACACAGAUCCAGACCUCAGAGAAAACCCCACUGUGAAGCCAGAUUUUGCCAGGCUCCAGAGAAACAUCCUGGCUUCAAAUCCACGGGUUACAAGAUUUCACAUCAACUGGGAUGAUAGCACUAAGAAAAUUGAUGAUUCAGAGAACACACAUCCAAACAUGCAGCCUGUUCUUGCUUCAAACAGUCUACCUUCAGCAUCAAAAGGCCUAGCAGUCACUGGGAAUUCAUUCAGUCUUAUGUCAGGCUCACUCAUGAACUGCAUGUGACUUCCCACAUGAAAAGAAAACACAAAUUAAUUUGUGAACAAGUGUUGGUUACAGUGAUAAUUUGUCACCUUUCCAAUAUUUUCAUACAUGUUUAUUGAGGCUUGUAAAAACUAAAGAUAAAAAUGUGUGGUUUUACAAUUGUGGCUAUUUGUUCCACUUUGAAUGUUAAAACAGUGAAAUAUGCUUUUAUCUUUAAAUUGUAAUCAGCAAUGACUUUAGACAAAAAGGUGUACAAAAACAUAUGAAAAUUAAUCUGUUAACACUGGCUUCUCAUAAAGAUUCAGAGUAAGAUUUUUAAUGGUGUAAAGUAGUAUUAUAAAAAUAAAAAUGAUAAAUCAGGCCUGGGCAACGCUGGUGUGAAUAUGAGCCACUUGUGCCUUUUGCUUGAUUAUUUGUAGUUAAAUAUGUUUCCCUAUUUUUAUAAUAUUAAAUUACAAUAUAACAAGGCAUUCAUUUUUUAAAAAUAAAAUAUAUUAUUUAUUUAACUGUU